CCUUCGGGAUCUGUGAGACAGGUGCUGCAUGGCUGUCGUCAGCUCGUGUUGUGAAAUGUUGGGUUAAGUCCCGCAACGAGCGCAACCCUUAUCCUUUCUUGCCAGCGAUUCGGUCGGGAACUCAAAGGAGACUGCCGGUGAUAAACCGGAGGAAGGUGGCGAUGACGUCAAGUCAUCAUGGCGCUUACGAGUAGGGCUACACACGUGCUACAAUGGCGUAUACAAAGAGAAGCGACCUCGCGAGAGCAAGCGGACCUCAUAAAGUACGUCGUAGUCCGGAUUGGAGUCUGCAACUCGACUCCAUGAAGUCGGAAUCGCUAGUAAUCGUAGAUCAGAAUGCUACGGUGAAUACGUUCCCGGGCCUUGUACACACCGCCCGUCACACCAUGGGAGUGGG
rnacentral:rRNA from 1 species